rnacentral:rRNA from 1 species
GUGCUGCAUGGUUGUCGUCAGCUCGUGCCGUGAGGUGUCAGGUUAAGUCCUAUAACGAGCGCAACCCCUUUUGUUAGUUGCCAUCAUUCAGUUGGGAACUCUAGGGAUACUGCCGAUGUAAGUCGGAGGAAGGUGGGGAUGACGUCAAAUCAUCAUGCCCUUUAUGUCCUGGGCGACACACGUGCUACAAUGGCCGGUACAAAGAGACGCCACAUCGCGAGGUGAAGCAAAUCUCAUAAAGCCGGUCUCAGUUCGGAUUGGAGUCUGCAACUCGACUCCAUGAAGCCGGAAUUGCUAGUAAUCGCGAAUCAGCCAUGUCGCGGUGAAUACGUUCCCGGGUCUUGUACACACCGCCCGUCAAACCAUGAGAGCUGGUAAUACUCGAAGUCGUUAUCCUAACCGCAAGGAGGGAGACGCCCAAGGUAGGACUGGUGAUUGGGGUUAAGUCGUAACAAGGUAUCCCUACGGGAACGUGGGGAUGGAUCACCUCCUUUCUAUGGAGA